rnacentral:misc_RNA from 1 species
GAUGAAGAACGUAGUGAAAUGCGAUAAGUAAUGUGAAUUGCAGAAUUCAGUGAAUCAUCGAAUCUUUGAACGCACAUUGCGCCCGUUAGCAUUCUAGCGGGCAUGCCUGUCCGAGCGUCAUUUCAACCCUCAGGGUCCCCGUUCCGGCGGGGAACCUGGUGUUGGGGAUCGGCCCGCCCCGUGCGGCGCCGUCCCCCAAAUUCAGUGGCGGUCUCGCUGCAGCCUCCCCUGCGUAGUAGUUACAACCUCGCAUCGGAGCUCAGCGCGGCCACGCCGUAAAACCCCCGACUUUCUGAACGUUGACCUCGGAUCAGGUAGGAAUACCCGCUGAACUUAAGCAUAUCAAUAAGCGGAGGA